rnacentral:rRNA from 1 species
AGAGUUUGAUCCUGGCUCAGGAUGAACGCUGGCGGCGUGCUUAACACAUGCAAGUCGAACGGUGAACACGGAGCUUGCUCUGUGGGAUCAGUGGCGAACGGGUGAGUAACACGUGAGCAACCUGCCCCUGACUCUGGGAUAAGCGCUGGAAACGGCGUCUAAUACUGGAUAUGUGACGUGAUCGCAUGGUCUGCGUCUGGAAAGAAUUUCGGUUGGGGAUGGGCUCGCGGCCUAUCAGCUUGUUGGUGAGGUAAUGGCUCACCAAGGCGUCGACGGGUAGCCGGCCUGAGAGGGUGACCGGCCACACUGGGACUGAGACACGGCCCAGACUCCUACGGGAGGCAGCAGUGGGGAAUAUUGCACAAUGGGCGCAAGCCUGAUGCAGCAACGCCGCGUGAGGGACGACGGCCUUCGGGUUGUAAACCUCUUUUAGCAGGGAAGAAGCGAAAGUGACGGUACCUGCAGAAAAAGCGCCGGCUAACUACGUGCCAGCAGCCGCGGUAAUACGUAGGGCGCAAGCGUUAUCCGGAAUUAUUGGGCGUAAAGAGCUCGUAGGCGGUUUGUCGCGUCUGCUGUGAAAUCCGGAGGCUCAACCUCCGGCCUGCAGUGGGUACGGGCAGACUAGAGUGCGGUAGGGGAGAUUGGAAUUCCUGGUGUAGCGGUGGAAUGCGCAGAUAUCAGGAGGAACACCGAUGGCGAAGGCAGAUCUCUGGGCCGUAACUGACGCUGAGGAGCGAAAGGGUGGGGAGCAAACAGGAUUAGAUACCCUGGUAGUCC